AUGCGAUUGUUUGAAACCUUUCAUAACAAUACCCUGGAUGUAGCCCGGCUGAAUUAUGGCAUUAUCACCUUGAUUCCCAAGCUGAAUGGGGCCAAAAAAAUUCAGCAAUAUCGCCCUAUCUGCCUGCUCAGAUGCCCCUAUAGGCUCAUUACUAAGGUCUUCGACAAUAGGGUGGCCAUCUUUACUGACAAGCUGAUUAGUAAACACCAAAAUGCCUUUAUCAAACAUAGGAACAUUAUGGAUGGGAUCCUUACGUUGCACGAAGUGCUGCAUCACACACACCAUAAGAAGAAAGUUGGUGUGGUGUUAAAAUUGGACUUUGAAAAGGCGUAUGACAAGAUAAAUCGGGACUUCCUUAUCGAAUGUCAUCGCAAUCGGGGUUUUGGGCCUACCUGGUGUGGGUGGGUGGAUAAGAUCCUUAGGAAUGGUACCCUGAGUAUUAAACUCAAUAAUGAGAAUGGACCCUACUUCCAAAGUCACAAAGGGGUCCGUCAAGGUGAUCCCCACUCCCCCUUCUUGUUUAAUAUUGUUGUGGAAACCCUUUCGAAAAUGAUCCUCAAUGCUCAGAAAGAAAAGCUGCUUACUAGGCUUGCUCCGUACCUGAUAGAGGGUGGGGUGGCAAUAUUACAGUACGCGGAUGACACGGUCAUAUGCUUCGAGCAUGACAAAGAUGCAGCUAUAAACCUUAAACUUCUUUUGUACAUGUUCGAGCUUAUGUCAGGUUUGAAAAUUAAUUUCAUGAAAAGUGAGGUUCUUUGUGUAGGAGGAGAUGAUGAGACAAUUGCCUUUUACUCCGAGCUGUUUAACUAA
rnacentral:rRNA from 1 species